GACGAACGCUGGCGGCGUGCUUAACACAUGCAAGUCGAACGGAAAGGCCCUGCUUUUGUGGGGUGCUCGAGUGGCGAACGGGUGAGUAACACGUGAGUAACAUGCCCUUGACUUUGGGAUAACUUCAGGAAACUGGGGCUAAUACAGGAUAGGAGCUCCUGCUGCAUGGUGGGGGUUGGAAAGUUUCGGCGGUUGGGGAUGGACUCGCGGCUUAUCAGCUUGUUGGUGGGGUAGUGGAUUACCAAGGCUUUGACGGGUAGCCGGCCUGAGAGGGUGACCGGCCACAUUGGGACUGCGAUACGGCCCAGACUCCUACGGGAGGCAGCAGUGGGGAAUAUUGCACAAUGGGCGGAAGCCUGAUGCGACAACGCCGCGUGCGGGAUGACGGCCUUCGGGUUGUAAACCGCUUUCGCCUGUGACGAAGCGUGAGUGACGGUAAUGGGUAAAGAAGCACCGGCUAACUACGUG
rnacentral:rRNA from 1 species